rnacentral:rRNA from 1 species
UGCGCGGAAGAUGUAACGGGGCUAAGCCAGUUACCGAAGCUGCGGAUGCAUCCGCUCUUUUAAUGUGUUUAAUCGAGAUACUUCAUUGUGAGAGUUUUGAAUGCAAAUUCAAAACUCUCACUAACGUACUCCAAAAGGCUUGGACAGAUUUGUGUCCAAAAGGCUUGGACAGACAGGGUUCAUGGUACUUAAGGAGAAAUGAAUCUUAAACUGUAAGUUUAGGAAUUAUGAAAACUUUAAUGAAGUGAGAUUAAAAGUAGUUCUCUUAAACAGAAAGUUUAAGAGAACUACAUAAAUUAAUAAGCUUUUGAUAAAAAGCUUAUAAAGAUUAGACAUAUUAAGAGAGCGGAUGCGUGGUAGGAGAGCGUUCUGUAAGCCAGAGAAGGUGAAUCGAGAGGUUUGCUGGAGGUAUCAGAAGUGCGAAUGCUGACAUGAGUAGCGAUAAAGGGAGUGAAAAGCUCCCUCGCCGUAAGUCCAAGGAUUCCUGCGCAACGUUCAUCGGCGCAGGGUUAGUCGGCCCCUAAGGUGAGGCAGAGAUGCGUAGCUGAUGGGAAGUGGGUUAAUAUUCCUACACCGGCUUGUGAUGUGAAGGGGGGACGGAUUGCGGAAUGUGUACGGGCUGUUGGAUAUGCUCGGUAUUGUAGCCAAGAAGUUGAUUAGGCAAAUCCGGUCAAAGGAUUCAAGGCUAUGAUUCGCAGAAGACUUAAGGUCUUUGAAGUCACAGGAAGUGGUUCCAGGAAAAGCCUCUAAGCGAUAAAUUACAAGUUGACCGUACCGCAAACCGACACAGGUGGACGGGAUGAAUAUUCCAAGGCGCUUGAGAGAACUCAGGAGAAGGAACUCGGCAAAUUGAUACCGUAACUUCGGGAGAAGGUAUGCCUUUGUAUGGUGAGUAGCCAGAAGAGGCCGCAGAGAAUAGGUGGCUGCGACUGUUUAUUAAAAACAUAGCACUCUGCAAACACGAAAGUGG